rnacentral:rRNA from 1 species
GAGGAAUAUUGGUCAAUGGUCGGGAGACUGAACCAGCCAAGCCGCGUGAGGGAAGAAGGUACAGCGUAUCGUAAACCUCUUUUGCCGGGGAACAAGAGCUUCCACGAGUGGGAGUGUGAGCGUACCCGGAGAAAAAGCAUCGGCUAACUCC